CCGCUAGGAUGGCUAGAAUCUAAACGACAGGUGAUAAGUGUUGGUGAGGAUGUGGAGAAAUCAGGGCCCUUGUUCAUCACUGCUGGGAAUGCAACAUGGUGCAGCCACUUUGGAAAACAGUCUGGAAGCUCCUCGGAAAGCAAAACAUAGAAUUACCAGGGGGCCCAACAAUUCCACUCCUAGCGCCAACACCAAGCACUGGCUCCGGCAUGUAAUAGUCGCUCAAUAAACGCCUGACAAAUGAAUGGCACAAAGAAGGCGCUCGAGAAACGUAAACAGUGUUGAAGCAACUCACCUAAUGCCACGCGCUUCAGAGGGAGAAGGGACUUCGCUGGUCGUGUGUGGAUGCCCUUGGUGUUCAGGUGUCACAGGUCCAGCAAAACAAGAACCUCGCUGUAGCCCUGGAGGCCUGGGAGGAAGGGGCCGAGGUGAAACCACGCUCUGGCCAGGGAACUCAUGGAAAAGCAGCCUCGCUUCCUGCGCAGCUGCUCUGGGCCCCCAACCCGGUUUUAAACCACAGCCUCAGACACACUUCGUCUUUGCAGGGUGGCUGAAAAGUUCCGGUAAAGCAACCGUGGGCUUGCUCCAUGCUGGGGCGAAGAGCGGGCAGGAAGCGGGGCUGCGUCAGGACGCGGUGCCUCCCCUGAGAGGCAGGGGGCUGGCGAAGGCUGAGGGGCAGGUGCAGACGGUGAGCCGGGAGUGCUUGGUGCAUAGUUGGCGCCCUGGGUGAUGGCUGAAUCAAUGGAUGAUGAGCGAGCACGUGGAUGUUUUGCUGAAGGCAUCUGAUGUGGCUGAACCUGCAGCAAACUGAUUCUGUUUGGAACUUGGGGGCCAGAGAGGAACCACCCAGGACAGACAGAGUGGGCACUUUGGUUGCCUGGAACAUUAGGCCUCCCCAUGUUCACUGAGGACCAGGAGUUACUGUUCGGGUCCUUGUGAAUUCCAAAGCCUCUUGGGAAUGUCAUCUGUAAGCAUCCACUAACACUUAGAAACACACAUUCUCUUUGACCCUGCCAUCCCACUUCCGGGAAUCUGCCCCACAGGAAUGGAAACCCUAGCAUGGAAGGCCACAGGACCAGAAUGUUUACUGUGCCAUGUUUGUGGGGGCAAAAACCUGGAAGCAAUCUGACAGUCCAUCAGGACUGGAAAGGUUGGAGAAGUUGUGCUACGUGCCUUUUUGAAAUACCAACCUUUUAAAAAUUCGAUUUCUAUGUAAUUAUCUGGAGUACUGUCCUUGAUCUAUUGCAAAGUAAAAAACGGAAAACCCCCAAAAAACUCCAAGUAGGCCAGUAAUGUGAAUCAAACAAUGCUAGAAAAUUU
rnacentral:lncRNA from 1 species